AAUGAUUGUGGCCGGUCGCGAUAGCCGUCGCCGCCGCAACGACCGGCACCACCACGUUGAAUCCUCCAGCGUCGAAGAAGAACAGUUCAUCCUCGAAGCUUCCUCUACUUCGUCUACCGCUCCUUUCUCCUCUUCUCCGGUUACUUUGCGGUGCUCCCACACUUUCUUUCUCUCGUCAUGUCCGUUGGCACUGCAUCAAACACCUGCCAUUAACCAAUCCCGACCGGCAAGUGCCCUGCUCUGCUGCCAUUGCACUAUGUACCGUCACAACAACCCUCUACGGCUCCUUUCAGCAUGAUUUCUCUCUCCAUCGAAGCAGCAACAUUCGAACUUCCUCGCUUUUACCCGGUCGGAAGCCAACGCCCUACCGGUGUUCGGCCUAUUGCGACCGUGGAACUGCCGCCGAGGAGACAUGACCUUUCGACAACUCCACAGCCUUCGGUGACCACAGCUUCUCGCCCGUUGCCAAUUUUGUGUGAUGGACCAACAGCCGGUUGUGCUGGUUGCUGGAAUUAACAUCACCUGGCCACCUCCUUUUAUCUUAUUGUGGCCGAGAAAUCAUGGUUUGGUGGUUUGCUGUGGUACAUGACACAAUAAGCAGCAGAUCAAGCCUGUUUGGUAGCCUGUUUCUUUUGGUCAAACCUCUUAUGGACACUGAUAAGUUGACAGUGAGACUAGCAAUAAAUGACUUAUGCUGGGCUGUAGAAGAGAAGCCUGAGUGAACUGCCACCCACCUUAUUAUGCCUACGUAUCACAAACAACACCCACAUCUUCAGGAAGAAGAUCAGGUCUCUGUGAUGGUGCUUCUCAUUAAAUAUUGGCAGAGCUACCAAAAGAACUUUCUGCAGAGCAAAUUCAAGUUGUCCAUGUGAAGGCAUGAUCUCAUUUUCUCAUGCCUGCCUCACAUGACCUGUCAUGGUGUACUCUCUGUACAUGUAUUAUAAACCAUCUCUUUGGGGCUGAUUGGAUAUGUAGGUCCCAAGUGUACCUUGCUGAUGCUGUGACAAGGGGCAUCUUAUCUGCUUCCGUUGGAGUCAACACUGGCUCUUGUGCAUGGAAGGUGAUAUCUAUCUAUAUAAUACACAUCUGUAAUGGGAUGUACUUAGUGGCCAAACUUGUUCUAGAUUCUGAAUUUUUUGAGUGGCAACACUUGUCUCUCCCUCAGGAUUAUUGUAUUCACAAACUCCAGAGAUAAGAUGCCUUGGCUUGAUGUUAGUCCUAAACAAGAGGUGGGAUAUAUUUGGGGCUAUGACUAUGAGAACUUCCAAAGGACAACAUCCCUUGGGCAUCCACAGAGCUGUGAAUAAAAAGAAAGAGUGAAUUCUGGAGGCCAAACUGAGUGGAUAAGAACAGCAGCAGCAGCAGCAGCAUGCAGACCUAAUCAUUUGCCACUCAGAUCCCAACUUGUUGGAUAGACAUGGCCUGGACCCCCACAAGAGAAAGAGCAUGAGAAGAUGGUCUUCUUUUUGGGCAUCGAUAUCUCCAGCCAUGUGCAUAGACAGCUCCAUCUGCUACCCAUUACAUUGUCAAGUUGGCAAAGGCUGUCAGAGCACAUAUGACAUCCCAAGGCAAUAUUAAAUCUCAAAGAGUUUGAUGCUCCAUAUCCCAUAGGAUAAAGCUGUGUGUAAAUGUGAUGGUAGUGAGAGGCACUUGUUCCUUGCCCAGAUAGACACAGUCACCUGGACAGGAUCUCUUUUCCAGAAUGGAGGUGCUCAUGCCACAGGAUGUUGUGAGGUCUCAUUUUAAUGGCUGAAGAGCUCAGGAGGAGCACACAUGCCACAUAUAAGGAGAGCCUGUCCAUCUUUAUCAGUGAGAUCUUUUUUUCUUUUCUUUUUUUUUCUUGUUUCAAUGGAAACAACAAGAGGUUUGGCUUUCUUUUGGCUGCAGCA